rnacentral:rRNA from 1 species
CAGGAUGAACGCUGGCGGCGUGCCUAAUACAUGCAAGUCGAACGAGAAGCCUUGGAUUUAUCUANAGGUGGAGAGUGGCGCACGGGUGAGUAACACAUGGCUGACCUGCCCCUCAGAGGGGGACAACCGGUGGAAACGCCGGCUAAUACCCCAUGCUUGCGUCCGGGUUAGAGGCCGGAUGCAGAAAGGCCGAGGCGCUGAGGGAGGGGGCUGUGGACCAUCAGCUAGUUGGUAGGGUAACGGCCUACCAAGGCGAGGACGGAUAGGGGGCCUGAGAGGGUGACCCCCCACACGGGCACUGAGACACGGGCCCGACUCCUACGGGAGGCAGCAGUAAGGGAUAUUGCGACAAUGGGCGAAAGCCUGACGCAGCAACGCCGCGUGGAGGAUGAAGGCCUUCGGGUUGUAAACUCCUUUUCUGUGGGAAGAGGAAGGACGGUACCACAGGAAGAAGUCUCGGCUAACUACGUGCCAGCAGCCGCGGUAAAACGUAGGAGGCGAGCGUUAUCCGGAUUUACUGGGUGUAAAGCGCGUGCAGGCGGUCUGGUAAGUCGAGCGUGAAAGCUCCCGGCUCAACCGGGAGAGGACGUGCGAAACUGCGAGGCUAGAGACAGGUAGAGGCGUACGGAAUUCCGGGUGUAGUGGCGAAAUGCGUAGAUAUCCGGAGGAACACCAGUGGCGAAGGCGGUACGCUGGGCCUGGUCUGACGCUAAGACGCGAAAGCAUGGGGAGCGAACGGGAUUAGAAACCCCGGUAGUCCAUGCCGUAAACGAUGCUAACUAGGUGUUGCGGGUAAAAGACCGGCAGUGCCGGAGUUAACGCGAUAAGUUAGCCACCUGGGGACCUACGGUCGCAAGGCUAAAACUCAAAGGAAUUGACGGGGGCCCGCACAAGCAGCGGAGCGUGUGGUUUAAUUCGAGGGCUACACGAAGAACCUUACCUGGGCUUGACAUGACGGUGGUAGGGAACCGAGAGGGGACCGACCUUCGGGAGCCGUCACAGGUGGCUUGCCCAUGGGCUGUCGUCAGCUCGUGUCGUGAGAUGUUCGGUUAAGUCCGGUAACGAGCGCAACCCUCAUCGCUAGUUACAAGUGUCUAGCGAGACUGCCCGUUCAACGCGGGAGGAAGGCGGGGAUGACGUCAAGUCAGCA